AUUGAACGCUGGCGGCAUGCUUUACACAUGCAAGUCGAACGGCAACGAGGAGAAGCUUGCUUCUCUGUCGGCGAGUGGCGAACGGGUGAGUAUAGCAUCGGAACGUGCCAAGUAGUGGGGGAUAACCAAACGAAAGUUUGGCUAAUACCGCGUAAGCUCUAAGGAGGAAAGUAGGGGACCUAAUAAGGCCUUACGCUAUUUGAUCGGCCGAUGUCGGAUUAGCUAGUUGGUGGGGUAAUGGCUCACCAAGGCAAUGAUCCGUAGCGGGUCUGAGAGGACGAUCCGCCACACUGGAACUGAGACACGGCCCAGACUCCUACGGGAGGCAGCAGUGGGGAAUUUUGGACAAUGGGGGAAACCCUGAUCCAGCCAUGCCGCGUGUAUGAAGAAGGCCUUAGGGUUGUAAAGUACUUUUGUUAGGGAAGAAAAGCUAGUUUUUAAUAAAAAUUAGUGAUGACGGUACCUAAAGAAUAAGCACCGGCUAACUACGUG
rnacentral:rRNA from 1 species